GCGAGAGUGGCGAAAUUGGUAGACGCGCCAGAUUUAGGAUCUGGUCCCGCUCGGCGGGAUGGGGGUUCGAGUCCCUUCUCUCGCA
rnacentral:tRNA from 1 species